rnacentral:pre_miRNA from 1 species
AUAAUACUCCCUCCAUCUGAAAUUACUUGUCGCGGAAAUGGAUGUAUCUAGACAUAUUUUAAUUCUAGAUACAUCCAUUUUUACGACAAGUAAUUUGGGACGGAGAGAGUAGGUA